rnacentral:lncRNA from 1 species
GUGGUAGACCUGAGGUUGCUGUUUGGUUGGCAGGGUUGGCAAUCAGGAAGAAGAGCUACACACAGUAUGGGGGAGAGCAGAGACAUGGUGAAAUCCUCUGGCAUCUUCAGUUUGACUAACUCUAACCUGAAAUCAUAUGGGAAGAGGAUUCUGGGAAUUGUAGUUUGAGCUUAGCCCAGCUGCGCUUAACCUAGCUGCCAAAGCAGGUGAGAGUGGGAGUGGGGAACUAAGUGGGGAUGUGAUAGUGUGGGAGUCCACAGUGGUAUUUUAUAAAUCUAGGUUCAUUUUACUGUGAGAGAGCAAGUUCUUUACAUUCUACGAGCCUUUUUCUUCCUCUGUGAAAUGGGAGAUAAUCUUUACUUUAUGUGAUUAUUGUAAGGAUUAAGGGAAAUGUUUGCAAAGCAUUUAGCAGAGUGUCAGCACAAUGCAAACUAUUAUAAAGAGUAGCUUCUAUUAAUAGUAGUAGUUGUGGUAGUGAUAGAAGGGAUUGAGAAAUAUUUCGAAAUGAGAGGGGAGGAGUAGAGAAGAUGAAUGGGAGUAAGAAUGACAUGGAAGACAUAGUUCUUAUAUUUGAGAAUGUUAUAUUCUGGUGACAGAGAACACAUGUAAACAUAUAGAAUGUUUAGGAAGCUGUUAAGUAGGGCAGUAUCCUUUAAGAAAAUAACUGCUGUGCUGAGUGUAGAGACCGCAAGUGCUGUCAUUCCAGUGUAGUUAAGGUUAAGUGGUAGUGUAUGUGAAAUUCCUGGUACACUGAGAGUCCACAGAGGUUAAUUAUUUUCCACUUCGUUUCAUUUAUAGAAGGAAGGAUGGCCAGGUGAGGGGGAUGGGAAGGCUUAAGCUGGGUCCUUCAAAGAUGGUUUAGACAAGUAGAAAAGCGGAAGGAAGCAUUUCAGACAAUAGUAGGAGGCAUCAACAAGGCAUGUGGUGCUUCAUGAACACAACUGUAUACCUGUUGACUCCUGCUCUUUGCUUUUGUAAUCUAUUUGUAGUUUCUAAAGAUUGUGUUUGUUCCUGCUUGGACUGGUUGCCCACCUCUGGACUAUCAUUUAUGGUGUGGGACAACACUGAGCUAAUUUGAUAUCAGUUAGUAAUUAAGUGGGUGGUUGGAGGUGUGGUGGUAGAAGAGACAAGUUUCCAGAAGAAGGCCACUAUGGAUGAAUCACUCCUUUUGUUAUAGUCGUUCAGUAUUAUAAUUCUACCUUGUUCUUUUCAGGACAUUAUUAAGCAUUUUAUUCUUUUUAUACAAUUCGUAUUUAUUUAACUUCACCACGUUUACCAAUUUCUUGUUAGCUUUUGUUCUGAAAUCACGUUCCUUCUUCAUGAACCCUUUUUUUUUUUUUUAAAUGGCUGCACUUGUAGCAUAUGGAAGUUCCCAGGCCAGAGACUGAAUUCAGGCUGCAGCUGUGACCCACACCACAGCUGCAGCAAUGCUGGAUUCUUUAACCCACUGUGCCAGGCCAAAGAUUGAACCCAUGCCUUUUUAGCAAACUGAACUGCUGCAGAUGGAUUCUUAACCCGCUGCACCAGAGCAGGAACUCCUAGCUCUUGUUCUUGAUUGAUGUUUUAGUUGUGAAUGAAAAUCUGGAUUAGCACUUACUUCCCUCUAAGCAUUGUUUUUUUUUUUUUUUUUCCUUUGGCCACACCUGUGGCAUGUGGAGGUUCACAGGCCAGGGACUGAACCCAUGCCACAGCAGUGACCUGAGCCACUGCAGUGACAAUGCCGAAUCCUUAACCUACUGCACCACAAGUGAACUCCCUCCUCAGCAAUUUUAAGAUGUUAUUCCAUUCUGUUUUCUGCCAUAUAAUCAGACCUAAAAGAUUGUACCGGAUGUUUUAUUAUAGUAAUAUUUUAGUUUUGUUUAGCUUUUCUUUUUAUUUCUGUUUUUUUUUGCCUUUUUUAGGGCUGCACCCACAGCAUAUGGAGGUUCCCAGGCUAGGGGUCGAAUUGGAAGAGUUGCAGCUGCCAGCCUGUACCAAGCCAUAGCAACGUAGGAUCUGAGCCUCAUCUUCAUCCUACAGCUUGUGGCAAAGACAGGUCUUUAACCCACUGAGUGAAGCCAGGGAUGGAACCUGCAUCCUCAUGGAUAUUAGAGGGGUUUGUUAUACUGAGCCACAACAGGAACUCCCAUCUAUUUUAAUUUUUGUAUUCACUGAAUGAUUAAUGAAGAUCUUAGGAAUGUCAAAGGGAUCAGUAAAAUAAGCCUUUAAUAAAUUUCUUUUAGUUGUUUGUGUGUAUAAUUAUUACUAAAAUAUUUGAUUACCUUUUCUGUAUCACCACUGAAGAUAAAUAAAUUAAUUAUUGUUCCUGUAAUCAUAAUGCUCCAUUCUGGUCAGGGGAGACAGACAUAUUAGGGUGACCUCAUAAUUUGUUAUACAGACUGGGCUGCUUUUGAAAGUGAGAAGAAGCUGUUUUAAUAAUUAUCUUGGGAGUUCCAUCGUGGCUCAGUGGAAACAAAUCUGACUAGUAUCCAUGAGGACGCAGGUUUGAUCCCUGGCCUAGCUCAAUUGGUUAAGGAUCCAGAGUUGCCCUGAGCUGUGGUAUAGGUCAUAGAUGUGGCUUGGAUCUGGCGUUGCUGUGGCUGUGGUGUAGGCUGGCAGCUACAGCUCCAGUUCAACUCCUAACAUGGGAACCUCCAUAUGCC